AGGCAUUUUAUAAGCACAAAGUGGAAAAGCAUCAUUCAUAUUCAUUUGCUGCUGCGGCAUUUCUCCCUGGAAUCUUCCUCUUGUCUGUCAACAUUGGGCAAAAGGACUGGCCUCAUCUACAUUACAGAUAUCCUUGUGAUGGUCUGGAGGGACCUGUGGGAGAGGCGGCCAUCCAGAGGGCUCUCUGAGGGGUCAUUUAGAAUGCAACUCUUCUGGGCAGAGGAUGGUCUGCACUGGCCUCCACCACGCAGGAAGGCUUCCAGAGUGGAGAAAUGUCCACUAACAUGGCUUCUGUGAGGUCAUGUGCUGGGUGCUGGGAACACAAAGGAGAGAUGAGAGGAAGUUAGAGGGGCUAGAAGAACCAGGAGACCUGUUGAAAAUCAUGAAUACAAAGAGAGGUCGUUUGCUUCUGUGCUUCAAUUCUAUAAUAAAAUGAGUACAAUGUCA
rnacentral:lncRNA from 1 species